AAUAAAUGAAAAAGACCAGUUUGUCUUUCUCGUAUGAUGUAGCCGGGAAUCGCCUUACGGAGGCGGCGAAGCUCCAAUCCCUCCCAAGUUUCCACCAUAAACCCCUCUCUCCCUCCUCUUUCCAUAUCUAUGCUUGAAAUCCUUAAAAUCCUAGCUCAACGCCUCGAAUCUUCAAUCAAAGCUUUCUGGCCAGGACAGAACUCCGUCCAAACCAUCCCAAAUAAAUACCUCCUGCUCUCCUAGUUCUCCUCUACUAAAUUAACAUGUUGUUUUCCUUCAAACAUCACUUGAAAUGCUCUAAUUUCGAAUCACCAAGGAGGUGGAACCCUAGGAGUUAACUAUUGCUCAGUUUUUCUUGAUUUUUUUAUUCGAGUCUGGUGUUCGAUUCGAGCCACUAAAUAAUGUUUUUGUUUGUUUAUCAAAGAACAAACGAUUAAUGUUAUUCCGGGGCUCGAAUUGAUUUGCUUUUAAUCUCUUCCCCGGUAUAGCAUAGGUAAGUUUUCUGGUUUAAUUUUUGUUCGAUUCAAUUGUUCUUCUGGUUUUGUUAGCAAAUGUUGAUUGAUACAGACAUUUAAUUUUAGUUUAGUCUAUUUUUCUAUCAGCUUCUGCUUUGACAAAAUUGUCGACAAUAAUUUGUUCAUGGGCCAGUAGAGAUUGUGAUUUGGGUUUUGUAAGAUUAAUCAUUCCAAGUCUCAGUGUUUUGCUCAAAUGUUAAAUUAUGUUCUAUCAGUUUAAUAUUGGCUCCAAAUCAGUAGUUAUAUAAGCUGUUCAAAUUGGUUUUAUAUUCUUGUAAUGUGAUUUUGAUUAGCAAUUGUCUUUUAAACCAGUGUUUGUCCUUGAAUAAUUGUUAGGCGUAGUUUAAGUAAUUUGGUAAUAGAUGAUUAAUACCCAUGAGGAUGAACUAUAGUUAAUCUUUAGCUAGGUUAAAAGGGCUAUGGUUGGGUAGUAAUUCAAAGGUGAAAAGAAGGGUAGUUUAUUCAUGGGAAAGGGUAGUUUAUUCAUGGGAAAGGGUAGUUUUACUAAGUUUGGUAAUUUCUAAAAAAGGGAAAGGGUAGUGUAGGUAUUUCAUGGGUAAAGAGCAUCCUAGAGGCUUCUAGAGUAGGGUACAAGUGUAAAUUUCAGUAACUAGGAUGCAUUUAUUUGAGUAGCAAGAUAGAAAUAGGAGGGUUAAAAUGAAUAUAGGUAGAGACUUAUAGUGCAAAUGGAAAAUUUGAGGGAUGCCCUCUUUUGGCUUAUAAAAGGCCAUUGCUAUACCUUGAAGCACAAGUUUGGAGCCUCUAAAAUUCCUCCAAAAUACUCCACAGGCUCCCAGAUCUGCAAAUUAACCUUUUAGAUCCAAAUUCCUUUAGAUUUUAGCUUUCAUCAAAAGAAAACCAAAACAAAAUAGGAAAUUAUAGAAAAUGUAUUAUUCCAUUAGUUUUCUUAGAUCUUCCUUAAAUUCCAGCUUUCAACUCAGACCUUGAAGUCCAUUUUGAAUUCAACCAACUGUAUCUUCACUGUUUUCAGUUUGGUACUGAGAUAUGAUGGUUGUGGGUCAAAGUUGUUUUGAAAUUGGAUUACUUGGAAUGAAAUUUGGUUCAUUGAAGUAGUAGAGGUUCUGAGUUCAAUUGGAGAUUAUUUGAGUUUGUUCAAGUUAGAUUUGGGUCAAUCUGUGGAUCCUGUUUGGUUCUUAAUUCAGUUCGAAUGGCUGGAGUCUUUGCUGGACUUCUGUUAAUCAUUCAUUGACUGAUGUUGGGUUUUAACCUGAUUCAUGAAUUACUGCUGGAAUUACUACUGCUGCUGACCUUCAUUUCCUCGGUUGAAACUCCAUUCUCAGGCACACACUUGAUCAUUGUAUUGGCCCGGCUUGGAAAUUGAGAUAUCGUAAUAAAAUUGGCCUUCCAUUUGCUAUCAGAAGUUUAAAUGUUCAAUUAGUUUAGUAAAAUUAGUCAAUAAUUGAUUUAUAUCAUUUGAUUUUUCUUUGGGUUUGUAUGCUUACUUGGAUUUUAUAAAUGUUCUGUUGAUUAUAGAUGAAUUAGUGGCUGGAUUGUAUGAAUGUUUGAGUCAUUGGUAUUAGUUCAAACUUUCUCAAUACACUAAGGCUCAUGACUGUCACCUUUUUAUUUGUAGUGUCGUAGGGAAAUUAAUUGAAUUAGUCUUUUUAACAUAACAAAUUUAUUAUUUUCAAUUACAUAGUGAAUUUA
rnacentral:lncRNA from 1 species